rnacentral:tmRNA from 1 species
GGGGAUGUAAAGGUUUCGACAGGGGUGCGUGUGGUAUAGAUAGCGAGUCGGCGUUCCAUGAGGCCGUUAAACGGUGGGAAAACAUUUAAACGCAGAAGAAAAUUUUGCAUUAGCUGCAUAAGCUACGUCCCUCAUACUUGUGCCUACCAAGUGUGAAUGGACGUCAAAC